GCCAUAAUGGCACAGUGGUUAUUGCUCUGUACUGGUAAUUUCUUAAUUUCUUAUUCGGUCGCUGGUUCGAUCCUCGCUUCUAACA